AAAAAGCCCCGUGGCUGAAUAUUGCUGUUCCUCAUUGAUAACGUGGACGCACUGCUUAGUUCAAAGAAAGAGCUCGAAGAAUGAAGAAAAAGAGCUGGGUCCUGGGGGCUUCCAGAGUUUUCAGAGCUGGGUCCUGGGGACUUCCAGAGUUUUCCUUUCAUAUACAUAUAUUUACGCCAAUUCCAGUGGCUUCAACUUACUGGAACUUGAAGAGGCGCUGCUUAGUUCGAGGAAAAUUAGCAAUGGCCGAACAAUUUGAGAUGCACGAGUGAAACUGGGAACCCAAGGACUUGAGGUAUAUGUUACAAUUACUUAAUUCAAUUUGGGAUUCGAUUCAAUUUGUAGAUAAUGCAAUGAUCUUCAAAGAAUGUAUCCUAAAUCUCAUUGCUUUAUCCAAUGACAUGUUUUUCCCUCCUAGGUAUCAAGGCUAGGUUAUGGUUGUAUGGGGCUUUCAGGUAUCUACAAUAAUCCUGUCCCUGAGGAAGAAGGAAUUGCAAUAAUCAAAGAGGCAUUUAAUAAAGGAAUUACGUUCUUUGACACAUCGGAUGCUUAUGGCAUGAACCAUGCCAACGAGUACUUGGUGGGGAAGGUAGGUACUUUGCUAAGAAAAUUAUUCUUGAUUAUGGCUGUACUUUUGCUUCCUUUGUAAUUGAAAGUUGAUGUGAAUGACGAUAAUGAUAUUAUAAGGAAUCAAGCUGAUCUAAAUGAGGCUCCAUUUUUUUACAUUUAACUCUGGGUUAAUAAAAACAUUUAGAGGAGUCUUUGUUACUAAAAGUGAGCAAGGGAAAUAUGAGAAUUUUAAAGAAGUGGUUCCCAGGGUGAUUUAAGAGGCAGACCCUUCUAUCAAUUGAUGUAGAUAUGUUUAUAACAAAGAAACUAUGGUGUUUGUUAUUUGUACAUCAUCUUAAUAUCUCAACUGAGGAUAUUUAGAUAUGUAUUUAUGUUAGAAACAUUCUUUGCCAAUUAGAUUAUCAUGUAAGGUUUCAUUAGUUAAACUAUAGACAUGGGUGCAAUGAUUCGAUUAUGUAAACGUUCAAAUUGAUUGUUCCAAUUGUAAUUAAAAAUUAAGUGAUGAGUUCAAACGGAAUGAAAUUUCACGAUCAAAUCAAAUGUCGCUAAAGUUCAAUAAUUGCGCAUAUCAACAUGAUUCCGUUUUGACUUUUUCCUCUCCAUUAAACAUUUCUAGUCCUUGGUUUGGCUGCCAACAUCUUAAGGAAUAACUAGGAAUUUGUUUUGUUUAAAGACAAUGCUGGACGGAAAAAGUGAAACAUACUCCUCAACUUCAAGAGAUCAUUCCCAUUGAUGACCUAUUGAUUAGGGCAUUGCUGUUAUUUUGCUCAAAAGUUAUAAUUUGUCAUACUAGUAUAAUUCAUUAUAUAAUACAUAAAAUUAAUCAAGUUCGAAAAUUAGUCUUAAGCACACUUCCUUUAGAUCAUCUUAUAUUUCAAACAUAUACAUUGUUUACUCACUUUACGAGAAUGUUUCAAUACCAAGUUGUACAUGAGACGUCAAUCUUUGAUAUCAACUGAUGUAAAGUAUUGUCCAUGAGCUAUAACUCAUGGAAAAUGUGCAAUAUGUCAAUAUUACCCAGAAUAAAGCUUGAGAAUCUACCCCGAACUCCACUUCUUUUGAACGAAUUCUCACUUCAAACAUGCUCUUGUAUUACCUAUUUAGUUUUUAUUUUUUUAAGAAUGAAUUUAGGUAAAUAUGUGUAAUAAAAUUUUAACCUACUCAUAUACUUCAUGUCGUUUUCUUUUACAUUCACAAACUGCUUGCUUCUUGUGAUUCACCUUUUCUUUUAUGUUGUACCGUUUCUAUCAUAUUGUGCUUUCUUGACCUUUUAUAUUGCAUACUUUGGAAGAUUGUAAGAGAACUGUUUAGCGGUUUGAGAGAUCUUUAGCUACUACUGAUUUUAUAUUAAGAAACAUAAAAAAGGAAGGCAGGAAAGCCGCACAAAAAAUGAUUGUAAAGUUGGGAGCUAGUAUGAGAGUGAACAAAGAGAUGAAAUGAGAAAGAUAAUGUUAUUAUCAAUAAAGUAAAGUUAGACAUUUUAGUUCUAAAAGACUGUUUCAACCAAAAAAAAAAAAGAAAAAUGAAAAUUACUUUGUUUUUCUUUAUCGCUAGUUGAGGAGUGUUUUGACAAAUUGAGCAGGGAAAAAAAAAAACUCACCAUUCUCCAUAUACCAACACAACGAACCAUAAACUUUAUUAUUUAUACAUCAUUGUAUAUGUAAGGUGUGUAAUUUCGAGGCUUAGUCCUCAAUACCUAAAGUUGUAAGCCUAAUAUUGGUCCAAAUUAGACCCCCUUUGAGCUCCACUAAUUUGAAGUAAUGUGUUAUGGAAUGGUGAUUGAUGGAGAAUGUGUGAUUAAAAAAGAAUUGAAAAGUUUUUGAUUAGCAUGUAGUAUUAUUUUAAUAAAUGUGUGGAUGAAAAUGAAUAUUGUAGAACAAAUAAUGGGAAAGAAUGUAGAAGAAUGAGGUUUUAUUCCUGUCUCAGUACUUUGCCUUACCCAUGCCUUUUUAAAUAAUCAUAUUAAUUUAUUUAUCAAUACUAUUUUCUAACGUCGUAUUCAUGCUUUUUGAAAUUAUCAUAUUAAUUUGACUUAAUGUAAUGCAUGAGCUUUUUAGUAGUCACCUUUGAGUUAUCUUAACAAUAGAUAUUUAAAUUUUGUAGGCACUAAAGCAGUUACCUAGAGAAAAGGUUCAAUUAGCUACAAAGUUUGGUGUAGCAGGAUUUGAUGCUUCUGGUGUCAUAGUGAAAGGUUCACCUGAAUAUGCUCGCUCUUGUUGUGAAGCUAGUCUGAAGCGUCUUGAUGUGGAUUAUAUCGAUCUUUACUAUAUACAUCGAAUUGAUAAUACUGUGCCAAUUGAAUACACUGUGAGUUUUUUAAUUUUUUAAUGAUUUUACUUGGUGUCGUGUAUCCAUUUUUUAAGUGGCCAUUAACCAUGUUUUCACUUGGCUUGUACUCCUUUUUUUUUUUUAUCAUGCUUUCCAUUUUACUAACAUGUUUGCUCUUGUUGAUAAAAUUGUAUAUAAAUUGCAGAUGGGAGAACUUAAAAAGUUAGUCAAAGAAGGUAAAAUAAAAUAUAUUGGGUUGUCUGAAGCUAGUCCAGACACAAUAAGGAGGGCUCAUGCAGUUCAUCCUGUUACUGCUAUACAAAUGGACUAUUCCCUUUGGGUUCGUGACAUCGAAGAAGAAAUAAUUCCACUUUGCAGGUUCUUCAUAUUUCCCUAAUAUUUUUGUUGUGACCCUAUUACAUUUUCAGUUGACUCCCUUGGCAAUUAUGUACUUAAAUUGUAACUUAAGGGCUGAUAUUUGAAUUUGAAAUUAAUUUUGGACAACCUCAUCCUAGGAUUAACAUUACAAUGUUGAGCUCCUAUUUUCUAUUAUAAAACUCCAUGUUUUUGUAUUUUUUUAUUCCUGAAGCUGAAACUACGAUUAGAUAGAUUUUUGAUCAUUGUGCUUAUAAUAAAAACAGUAAAAAUAUUUUCCUCCUUUAUCAAUUCUUGAACACCCUGAUUCAUUUCUUUCAACUACUACGCUUCAAGUUUCUAUAGUUUUUCAUCUUAUUGAUUAUGAUCUCAUAUAUUGUUUCUUCUUUUUUCUGGAAAUGGAAAAUAGGGAACUUGGAAUUGGAAUAGUUCCAUACAGUCCCUUAGGUCGAGGGUUUUUUGCUGGGAAGGCCAUCGUGGAAAGUGCAGAUCCAAAUAGCUCUUUGGUGUGUGCAUCUAUAUAUUUUAGAUUUCAUUGCACAAUAUCUUAUUUAGUAUCCAGGAUCAUGUAGUAGUAUCUUCACUUUUGUAAUCUCUCUGUUGAUGAGAAGUUGUUUAAUUUUCGUACCGUCAGACAAGUCACCCAAGGCUUCAGGGAGAGAACUUUGAUAAGAACAAAGUCCUAUAUUUUCGUAUAGAAGCGUUGGCUAAGAAGCAUGGAUGCACUCCUGCUCAACUUGCGCUUGCAUGGGUUCUUCAUCAAGGAAAUGAUGUUGUACCUAUUCCAGGUUAGUCAAUCAUGUAAAAGCCUUAGCGUUAAAAACUAUAGUAGAAACCAUGUUUGAUGGAUCGGAAAUGUAGAGUAUGAAAGAAAUUGGAACUAUCUGUUUAAAAAUCUUUGCUGUUACCCUCACAUUAUAUUUAUAUUGAAGCAUUUAAUUCGUUUUUGUGAGCAUAAGAAUAUUCAUAUUAAAAGUAUAUCAAUGUAGAUUGUCUUGGAGAUUUGUGAAUUGAACUGGAAUUGUGACUUAGACUAAGCUAAACGCCAAUUGAAACCAGCCAACUCUCCUCUCCCUGUUUUUCGCUGUAAAAUUGGAAGUCUCUAUUUAGCAUCCCCAUGAAUUUCAGAUACCCUCAUUAUGGAUGGGGUUGAAAACCAACAUUCUUUUUCAUAGAUAUCUAAUUAUGUAACUCCUUUUCUUUUUACCCUUUUUUUUUUUUAAAGGAAAUGAAAGGGAUAGAAUGAGAGUAAAAUUAUCGCAUGCUCGUGCAGUUUUUUGUUAAUUCGGGAUUAUGAGAUGGGAAAGAAACAGAGGUCUCGUCACACGUGAAUAACUGUACAAAUAGGCCUAUAAUAUUGGAGUAUGAGAUGAUCGUUCCUGCCCUUUGGAAGUUCAUGUACUUGAGUAUGAGAUGAUCAACCUUUCCCUCGUCUUUCAUGAGUCUUUUUGUUUCUUAUUUAGAUAUCAGUAUGCUUCUUGGAGGUGUCGAGAUAUACAUACGAGCUCGUAAAUCUCUUCAGAGUCUGGUUAUUUUUCUCUUAAUUUUCCACCAUAUUUAUGUGCGUAGGCCUUAUAAUUAACAGCCAUUUGGGCCAUUUCACCCUAGAUAGGGAGAUCAGGAAAGACGGAUCGUUAAGUGAGAUUACUCUGGAAAAUUGUUAUUAUUUGCAGAUGCUGUAAAAUAAUUUUCUCCGAAAUUAUACAUACAAUGGAUGCCAGUGAAAUGUGCAUUAUAUCGAUAUCAUGAAUUUGAUUGUUUUUAAUGAUAAUUUAUCUUGCCAAUCUUGAAAUAUUGGUGUAGGUACGACCAAAAUUAAGAAUCUUCACGAUAAUAUUGGUGCUCUGAAAGUGAAGCUUACAAAAGAAGAUUUGAAAGAGAUUACUGAUGCGGUUCCCAUCAAUGAAGUAGCUGGGAUGAGAAGUUCUAAUGAUGCUUUUCAUCGGAUCACGUGGGAAUUUGUGAGGACACCACUCCCAAAAUGAACCAGUUAAAUGGAUAAUAUUUGUAUAUUAUGUUUUGAAAGAUCUUUGUCGUAGUUGUGUUGAUAUUUCCCGCAGUUUCCUUUGCACACUUCUAAUUCCCUUUUGUAUUUUUCCCAUGUCAUUAGCUUGUGUUGCUAAUCACGAAUAAUAUAUUGCGUGGCUAUUUAAUAAUUGAACCCUUCUCUUCUUUUUUACCAGCUUAACAUGUUAUGGUCAUCUUAUUAAUCAAAUUAUUUUAUAAUUUAUAUUCCUUUUGUCUGAGUAGACUUUCUAUCCAUGCAGCUUGUAGGUACAUGUUUAAAAUGCCAAAUGCCAACCAUCAGGAGGAUGGUUCUCCGUAAUGGAAGGACUUUUUAUGCAUGAAAUUAAUACACUUGUUACACGAAAAUGAACAAAUUUAUUAACUAAUGCUCUUUCAUUAUUUCUCUCCAAACAAGAAAAUGAAAUAUCUAACUGGAUCGUGC
rnacentral:lncRNA from 1 species